GUCAGGCGGGGCCACCCGCCGAGUUUAAGCAUAUAAAUAAGCGGAGGAGAAGAAACUUACAAGGAUUCCCCUAGUAACGGCGAGCGAACCGGGAUCAGCCCAGCUUGAGAAUCGGGCGGCCGCGCCGUCCGAAUUGUAGUCUGGAGAAGCGUCCUCAGCGAC
rnacentral:rRNA from 1 species